rnacentral:pre_miRNA from 1 species
CUAGUACUCCCUCUGUCCGGAAAUACUUGUCACCAAAAUGGAUAAAAGGAGAUGUAUCUAGAUGUAUUUUAGUUCUAGAUACAUCUUUUUUUUAUCUAUUUUGAUGACAAGUAUUUUCGGACGGAGGGAGUAUAAU